GACGAACGCUGGCGGCGUGCUUAACACAUGCAAGUCGAGCGGAAAGGCCCCUUUGGGGGUACUCGAGUGGCGAACGGGUGAGUAUCACGUGAGUAACCUGCCCUUGACUUCGGGAUAACUUCAGGAAACUGGGGCUAAUACCGGAUAGGAAUCCUUGCUGCAUGGUGGGGGUUGGAAAGCUUCGGCGGUUUUGGAUGGACUCGCGGCUUAUCAGCUUGUUGGUGGGGUAGUGGCUUACCAAGGCUUUGACGGGUAGCCGGCCUGAGAGGGCGACCGGCCACAUUGGGACUGAGAUACGGCCCAGACUCCUACGGGAGGCAGCAGUGGGGAAUAUUGCACAAUGGGCGGAAGCCUGAUGCAGCAACGCCGCGUGCGGGAUGACGGCCUUCGGGUUGUAAACCGCUUUCAGCAGGGGCGAAGCUUGUGGUGACGGUACCUGCAGAAGAAGCACCGGCUAACUACGUG
rnacentral:rRNA from 1 species